CGACACAUCGCUCCCGCCUCCACUCAUCGGCACUUUCGUCUUUACCGGAACCCUAUAGGCGGAGCAGAAGUGAGCCUCCACCUCCACCCGCCGCCGCCAUGGCUCUCCGUCGUGUCACCCCGCAGAGGAGACCCGUUCUCCCCCUCCCCCGUGCCUUCUUCUCCUCGUGCCCCCCGUUCACUCCGCCCCCGUCCCCGGCGAACGACCCCGACGACGACCAUUCCCCGUCCUCCUCUCCGCCCCCCAACCCCGGCGCGCCGCGGAAUCCGUCAUCCUCGCUUUUCCAGGACAUCAAGGAUCGCCUCCGCUUGUCUCCCACGUCGUCCCCUCCGCGCCGGAAUCCAUCGAACUUGCUCCGUCCCAACCCCGCGCGUGGUCCUCCUUCGAAACCGUCCCUUGAAGAGGUUCGCCGGAUGCUCGAUGACUUCCGCCCAACCGUCGGCGCGCCCUCCCCCUCCGCACCCGGAGUCGCCCCCUCCUUUUUGGACAUAAUCAAGAGGAGCAGCGUCGCCCAGGGUGCCAACGCUGGGCAGGGGGUGACCGGCUUCGAUUCCGUCCGAGAGAGUCUCAAGCGCUCCCCGCUGCGGACACCGCAUCCUCCGUCGACGCCGUUUCUGACUCUUUCGCAGAGCAACAUCUUCAGCCCGGAGUUACAGAGGAAGUUUAAGGCUGUAGAUGCGCGGAAGGAUGGGAAGGAAUCUAACGUGGCGCUUUCGAGGCUCUACAGCUACGAAGAGCUUGGGAAGAAGCUAGGCGAGCUCCGGCCAGCGGUUGGGGCCAAAGACGGUAAGGAGUGGUUCUCUCUUAAGGAGCUGCAGGGGCGGAUCGCCAAGCUGGCGGAGUUGGAGAAGCAGGAAAACCAGUUGUCAGGGUCUCUCUGGGAAAUCAAGAAUUGCAUUGGGAACCUGAAUCAUAAACCAGAAAACGCCACUCAGCGGGUAAACAUUCAUGCACUGCUGAACCUUCGCGGUCAGCCGACGCCAGACUACAUGAGUCAGCCUCCGCAGGAGGAGUUGUUAGAGAAGUACUUCCAUCCAGAUCAUAUGUCAUCCGAAGAGACGAUGAAAUUGGAGCUCCAAAGGGUGAGGGAUGAGUUCAAGAUGUCCGAGAAUGACUGUGGGUCUGCACGAGUUCAAAGUAAACACUUUAUUCUGUUCUUGAGUUCGAAGUAAACACUUUACCCUCCGCUUCAAAGUAAACACGAGUUCAAGCAUGUGUUUUACUUGUGAAAGAUGUAGUCACAUUUAUGCAGAAAUUAGGAUAGCGAUCAAGCAGGUGUUCUGAUUGUCGAAGUCACAAAUGACAGUUGCUGGUCCAAUAGGAACCUGAGGCUGUAGCGGUCAGUGCAGAUGAGGAAGCAGGGAACCUAAAGGUACGACCACCAAUGUCGCACGGCCUGAACCAGGCCGAUGAGUUGACGCUCAUAUGCCAUUAGCUUAUGGUGAUGGGCGGCGAAGGGCCGACUGAAGAAGGCCAAGGGACUGCCCCCUUGUUGGAGAACAACAUCGAAACCCGCAACUAAAGUGUCACAGUCGAUGAUAAACUAUAGGUCGAACCGUCGAAGUCUGGCAUUUGUAGGACCAACCUUGUGGAGAGAGGGCGCGUUUCAGUGUCGUGUGCCUCUGUAACCUCAGGUGUCUAGGCGAAGGCAUCCUUGCACAACAACUGUGUCAUGGGCACAACGAUCGUGCGUAGUCCCAGAUGAACUUGCAGUAGUAGUCGGCUAGUCCCAGGAAGCCACACACACCCGAGGCGAGCAGGGCUCUGGCCAUGACAAGACAACAUCCACCUUGACGGUGUCCAUGGUGACACUGUUGGCAGAGAUAACAUGGCCGAGGUAGGCGAUUGACGGCUCCCCGGAGGAGCAUUUUGACCGCUUCAAGUGGAUGUCGUGUGCGCGGAGGGCCUCAAGGAUGAGUCGAACAUGUUGCAGGUGCUCAGACCAUGAUGAACUGUAGAUUAAAAUGACAUCGAAGAAGACGAGCAUGAACCUGUUGAGGCAAGGAUGUCAGAUGUCAUUUAUGAGCCUUUAGAAUGUGGUCGACGCAUUGGAAAGGCCGAUGGGCAUGGUGAGGAACUUGAAGUGGCCAUGGUGGGUAUGAAACAUCGUCUUCUCAUUGUCCUUAGGAUGCAUCCGUACCUAAUUGUAGCCAAACUACAAGUCUAGCUUGGUCAAGUACUUGGCGCCAUGGAGCUCAUUCAGAAGUUCAUCGACCAUAAGUACAUGUAACAUGUCCUUAGAUAUGUUGUUGUUUAGAGCACGAUAGUCAAUGUAGAACCUCGAAGAGCACUCCACCUUCUUGACUACCAACAUCGAUGUUGAGAACGGAGAAGUGCUUGACCAGAUGAUGCCCUGCUCUAGCAUGAAGGUAGCAGGUGGGUCUGAUGAUCGUAGGGCCACACUAGUGCCAGCUCGCGGGGCUUGUCCAGGAUCGUGCCAUUCUAUUGGAGUAGGUAGUCCAGCAACAUCUGCUAAUGGUCACCAGCGAUGGAGCCAAGCGCUGGUGGUGUGUCGUCGUGAGGGAAUUUCAUGCCCUUCUAGAGGAUGCGGCGACCACCUCUCUAUCCAUGUGGAGAGCCUCAAAUUCCCACAUGAUGGGCCCUAAGAGCAUCUCCAAUAGUUUUGUAAAUUUAGCACCCUAAAUUAUAGAUUUAGGGAAUUGCUAAAACACUUUAAGGAGUAAAAAAACGUAUGUGCUCCAAUAGUUCUCUAUUUAUUGAUUACUAAUAUUUUAAAGUCGUCCACAUCAACAAAAAAUAAGUGGGCUUACUUUCUAUUUUUAUUUGAGCUAGCGGCAGAAAUUCAUAUCAACAAUCUUCCUUGACAUCUUGUGAGGUCACAACUGUCGAUGGAAGACCAGGCGACCGCAUCCACAUGCACGCGCCGUCCACGGAGGUCCUUGCGUCGACGUCGUGGAUGCAUCAUAGGAGGUGCUUCGGUGGUGCCUCAUCACGAGAGGUUGUCUAGCGGUGGCAGCGUCAAGGCGUCGGGGGCGAUGGAGAUGGAUUUGUGUUCACGGGGGUGGUGGGACGACACGAAACGGUGGUUGGAGUACGCUUUUCACAAUGGACUUAGAGCCAACGUUGAUUUCGGGAGUCCCAACAAGUUGCACAACUGACUCUGAAAAUCAAGCAUCUGUCAGCUGUUCUACACAAGAAGGAUAAACAUUCUAGAAAGGGGCUUCAGGAGAUGGUCCAAAAGAGAAAGAAAUACAUGAAAUACUUGCGAAGAACCGACUGGGACUCGUACUGUUUUGUUCUAUCAAAGCUGGGGCUACGCGAUGUGCCCGAGUACAAAGCUCCUGAUUACAAGAGCAAAGCAACCACUAAGGCCAAAUCUAAGAAGAGCAAGAGCAAGAGGAGAAAGAUGAAGGCAUAGGAGCGGUGAACAAACACACCCUUUUUGGUCUUGAAUUGCAUGGCUAGGAAAUGAUUCGAGAAGAUGGAUCCAUCCAAUCUUACAGUUUUUUUUUUGACUCGAAGCUGUUUGUAAUAACCAUCUCUUUGGAGGCCACGGUUUUUCCUUGUUCUGCUUGGAGCGGCAACCUUCCUGUAAGUUUUGUAACAACUGAUUUAUUAUAUUAUUGCUUUUGAGUUCUCCCGCUCGAUAUGCCUUAUUAUGAGGGAAGGGAGGAACAGAUACGACGAUAUGAUACCAUUACGUCAUCAUCAGUUUGUAGCUUUGCCAGUUUUUUUUGUUUGACGUAAUUUUCCAGAAUUCUUGUAUAAGAAUGCUUGAACAAUCUUGCUAGCUAGCCUAGCGAAACAAUCAAGUAGAAAUUCUUCUAUUUUC